GACACCAAAAAAUAAAUUUGACUUGUGAAGUAGCUUUGUAAAAGAAGAUGUUUAACUCUUUUGUUGAGCUGGAUUGUCUUAAUAACAAAUAAAGAACAUGCAUAGGCUAGACAAUUAUGUAUGGGUGACACUGGUGAGAAUGGUCGCUUACUCACCACCGUGUUCCAGAUGGAUCCCUGUUUGCUUCUCUCAUCUGGAGUGAGGCGAACAUAUGAGCUAGUCACCAACGUGCUGCCAGAAAAGUCCCACUGACUGCCAACACCUAAAAUACAGAGGUGAAGGAAUUACGCAUCAGACAGACUGGACAAUAUGUGCCUGCUUUGAUCGCCUCCAGCAAUAAAGUCUGGUCUAAAGCUCCAUUCAUUAGCUACAGAGAGGAUUGGUUCUGGACAACUAAGAAACAUCUGCAUUUGUACGAUAGACAAGUCUAAUUACUCAAGUCAAAUUACUUUGUAUUACUACUGUAUGUCUCUUAUCCUAAUCUGACAAAAUGUUUGACAACCACCUCAUCAUUAAAAAUAAAGUCUCCCAAGUUAAA